rnacentral:rRNA from 1 species
ACGUGAGUAACCUGCCCUUGACUCUGGGAUAAGCGUUGGAAACGACGUCUAAUACCGGAUAUGAACUGUGACGGCAUCGUCUGCAGUUGGAAAGAAUUUUGGUCAAGGAUGGACUCGCGGCCUAUCAGGUAGUUGGUGAGGUAAUGGCUCACCAAGCCGACGACGGGUAGCCGGCCUGAGAGGGUGACCGGCCACACUGGGACUGAGACACGGCCCAGACUCCUACGGGAGGCAGCAGUGGGGAAUAUUGCACAAUGGGCGAAAGCCUGAUGCAGCAACGCCGCGUGAGGGACGACGGCCUUCGGGUUGUAAACCUCUUUUAGUAGGGAAGAAGCGAAAGUGACGGUACCUGCAGAAAAAGCACCGGCUAACUACGUGCCAGCAGCCGCGGUAAUACGUAGGGUGCAAGCGUUGUCCGGAAUUAUUGGGCGUAAAGAGCUCGUAGGCGGUUUGUCGCGUCUGCUGUGAAAUCUGGGGGCUCAACCCCCAGCCUGCAGUGGGUACGGGCAGACUAGAGUGCGGUAGGGGAGAUUGGAAUUCCUGGUGUAGCGGUGGAAUGCGCAGAUAUCAGGAGGAACACCGAUGGCGAAGGCAGAUCUCUGGGCCGUAACUGACGCUGAGGAGCGAAAGCAUGGGGAGCGAACAGGAUUAGAUACCCUGGUAGUCCAUGCCGUAAACGUUGGGAACUAGAUGUAGGGGCCAUUCCACGGUUUCUGUGUCGCAGCUAACGCAUUAAGUUCCCCGCCUGGGGAGUACGGCCGCAAGGCUAAAACUCAAAGGAAUUGACGGGGGCCCGCACAAGCGGCGGAGCAUGCGGAUUAAUUCGAUGCAACGCGAAGAACCUUACCAA